UCCCUCCGUUGCUUAUUAGUUGUAGCUGAUUUAGUACAACGUUGUUUUUGUCAUCUCCUUAUAGUAGUAAGACCCAACACUUUGUGUGAGAUUUUCUAGUGUCUUUUAUGACUCACUAUAGAAGAUUUAGUUUGUGAAUUUGCUCCGAUUCUUUAACUUGUUGUGUGUGGAUUUGAAGCUUUUAUUUGUUCCUAUGGCCGGUCACUGGUUCCGUGUCUUGGAGUGGAUGGAUGAUCGUGAGCGACCACAAAUGGAUUUUGCCGAAUACGAUAUGCCCUGCUGGUUUAGAGAGUAUUUGGAAGUGUACGGUGGAACUCCCAGAUGUGCGUGCGAGGAGGUGGCCCUAUUGGUUGAAGGCAGAGGGCUCGCUCGACGCAUCUCAGCAAUCAUUUGUUGCCACUGAAUGGACUGCAGAGAUCCCAAUCUCAUAGUUUUAAGUGCCUGCCCGGAAUGGACCAGGGUACUUGGGAAGGAGGGAAUAUACAUGCUGAAAUACAAGAAGGCCCAGGCGAGCGAAUCUUGAAGAUAGCUGAUAUGCAUUCUUGUGUUUCUCUACUUUUAAUGGACGAGUUGGUUGAAUAGUCCCCCCACUUUCGUCUGGUUUUUUUUCGACUGGUUUUUUUUCGAGACUGGUUUUUUUUCGACUGGUUUUUUUUCGUCCCCCACACCCACCACACGCACGCAAAAAAAACCAGUCGAAAAAUCCACGAAGGUUAACCUACGAAAAAAAGCCAGGCGCUCGCUCCCUCGUGCCCUCGAUGCACUUGCCCACCGCCGCUCUCCUCUGCCCCAACCCCAACCCCGCCGCCGCCGCCUCAAUCCCACCGCCGCCGGCCUCCUCCUCCUCUAGCGCCUCCGCUCCAACCCCUCACCUUCUCAGCUUGGAUCCGCACGACAAGGUGUGGGGCUAUGGGAGAGAAGGCUCCAUAUCGCGCGACAAGGUGAGGGGGUGCCCAGAUCCGCAGCAGCACCACCGCGCCCUCGUCCACCUGGCCCUCGAGGUCGGCCAUGGAGGUCCGGCCCGACCAAUGGAUGGAUGGGGAUGAAACCCUAGCCCAACACCCACCCAUGGAUGGAUGGGGAUGGGGCGACGACGGCGGUGGCGGCGGCGGCCUUCUCUCGGUGCUUGCUGAUGUGGUGGACAUCGACGUCGGUGACGGGUUGCAGCACGUAGACAUCAAAGGCUGCGGGUGUGACGGAGGAGCACCAUGGCGGGCGUGCAGACCAUGGCUCGCUAUGGAAGACCCUUCCCUUCCCUCUCUCUGUUCAGGCCAUGCUCAGGCAGUCUUUUCUCUUCUCUUCCCGCAAAAAAAGUCUUUUCUCUUCAUGAUCUGAACAUGUUGGAGGCCAUUAUUUCUCCACUGCCGGAGUCUAGCCUCCCUCCGUGGGAUGCCAUGGAGAUGAAACUCCCCUCGACGAAAGAAUUCAAGGGCAUGUGGGAGAGAGAGGAGGUCCAUGGAGAAGAAGCUCUGCUCCAACCCUCCCUGCCUCCUAAUACAAGAUGUCUUUUUUUGUGUGUGCUUGUAUUGCAGCAGCCAUGUGCGUAUCAAAAAAAGGGUCCAGUUUGCAGCAGUCACAUGAUAUGGACAUGUUUUUUCAUCACAAUUGGAUUUUUGGAUUUACUAGGCUAAUUGGUGGUGGUUGCUGUUGUUGUUGUUUUAGCAGCAGCAGCAGCAGGCGGAGUGACGAUGUUGGCUAUGUGCAGGCCAUGGAGGCUUUGAUGAGCACGAGGGGAAGGCCGCUGCUUCAACCCCGUUAAGCUUACGUGUGGGAUUUGCUUCGGAAGUUGUCCACGUGAGUCAAUGGGUGCUGCUUCAUGUGGGCAUCCUUUCUGUGGUGUAUGUUGGAGAGGUUACACACCUGAUGAUGUUUACGGCUAGGCACAGGAACAAGCAGAGGCCGAGGAAGUGCGGGCACGCGCAGCUGGCCUUGGCAGGUGUAGGAACCGUGCGAGGAAGGUUCAGCGCGCUGCACAAGUCGGGCCACGCCCGGAGUGCCGUGCCAACGCAUGUGUGCGUGGUCGGUGGGUUAGCUAAGAUCUGCAUUCUGCGACUUCAUCUUCACCAUGGACACAAGCAAGGACUGAUUGGUGGUUCUUGGUAGCGGUGCCGAGCAUCGGCGGAUCGAAGUGGUCGAGGUCGCGGUUAAUCCACCAGAACGAGACAUGCAUCUUGGAGCUAGCGCAGAGGGGGGAAGAAGCAGGUUGGUAUGGCCCGGAACUUUUGCGCAAAGAAAACACACACAGGGCAGGAACAUGACUACUCUUCCCCUUCCAAGUUUUUGAUCGAUCGAACUCUUCGGUGACCAGAAAAUGAGAAAAAGGCAGGCCGUCGAUGUACAGACCACAGGUGCUCGGACGCACGGCCGGCAUCAUGGUCGUCAUAACUCAUAACCCAUGAGGUGGUGACCAAGCAAGAAAGGAAGGAACUUUCGCGCAAAGAAAACACACACAGGGCAGGAACAUGACUACUCUCGCCCUUCCAUGUUUCUGAUCGAUCGAACUCUUCGGUGACCAAAAAAUGAGAAAAGGGCAGGUCGUCGAUGUACAGACCACAGGCGCUCGGACGCACGGCCGGCAUCAUGGUCGUCAUAGCUCAUAACCCAUGAGGGGGUGACGAAGCAAGAAAGGAAGCUUAGUUGACUCUCCUCUAAUUCUUUUUUUUGUUGAGAAACUCUCCUCUCCGAUUCUGAUUGUCUUAGUUAGUCCUUGGAAAGCUCCCAACAUUAGAUUAAUUUAUGCAUUAAAAACUACAAAGAGUACAAUAGUAGAAACUAUAGUCAUAGAAACUGAUGUGGGUUGUAGAACUCCCGGGCGACGAGCCCAAUGGCCUUGUACUUCGCCCGGACAAGCACCAUUGGGUCGACGUUGCAGCCAGCGGCUGCGGCCAUGCAUUCGGAAAUUCCAUGGCAUGAUGCAUAUAAAUUGGAUCUGUAGGUGGGUUCAGAAGAUGAUUUUUUUCUAUGCUUCUCCUAUGGUGGGUUUGGUUUUGCAUUACUCAAUUUUGCUAAUGUGUCGUUUCUGCAAUGUAUCUUCAAUUUUUUUAGUAUACUAAUUUCAAAUGAUUACAUAAUUUUCUAUGGAUCAGAUUCAUGAAGCUUCAAGCGAGCAAGAAGUUUCAGUCCACCUUUACUCAUGGCCUCCCCUUCUCGUCUGGUGGACGGCCUUGGCAAUCUGAACAAGCUUUACGCGACUGGCACUCUUGUUGAUCCCAUAUGAGUCAUUAAGCCGUUUUGUGCGCAAGGUUGAGAUAGUUGGGGCCUGUAACUGUGUUUUGGUGAGCUUCUUCCUUCCUUUGAGGGUUUCCCAAUCCCUUCUCAAUCCAAAGUUCUGGCUCAGGCUGUGACUACAACUUUUAUUGACCUAGAUCUGAUGGUGAUAGUUAGGAAUAAUUCAAUUUUUUUUCAGGGUUUAUUGAACUGCACCACACAUAAGUAAUAGAUAUUAACCUAUGUUAACACUAAUAUUUGUAAUUUGUUACAUCAUGAUGUUUAAUAUUGCCAGGAGUUUUUUCUUGAAAAGAAAAUAUAAAAUUUACACCUCUUGCACCACUGAUAGAGAUGUGCCUUGCUGUAAUAAGAUGAUGGGCUCAUGACUUAUCUUUCUUGGACAAAACAAGGAAUCUAGCCAUAACUAUGUACAUAUCUGGAUACUCAUCUUUUUUCUCUCAAGCUAUCAUGUCAAGUGUAGAGGAAAUGAUGAUAUACAGAAUAAGGAGAAAGACAUGCUGACAGUACAUAUGGUUCCAAUUUUCAUCACACUAUGUGCUAAUAUAUGCUCUCAAUGAUAAUAUGCCACCUUGCGCUAUCUACACGUAACAUGUUCUUCUUUUGUAUAAUUAUACACUAUAAAAUUAUUGUAUGCUUACCUUUGGUGGAAUUUCAGAGUUGAAAGGACAUCAAGUUUCCACGCGAGGGGAGUUAAUUUUGGUUGUCCUUUGUUUCAUAAAAAAUGUUGGUAGCAUUUAGAACUAUGUUUAUUUGGUGUAAUCGGAAUUAAUCACUGGUUAAACAUAUAGAAGGAGUCUCUCUAUUGGAAGGGGAAAAUAUAAUAUUAGACACCAUUUAUUUUUCUGCUCGCUGAUGCAUGCAAUGUAUCAUUUGGCCUUGAUUUAAUGUACUGCACUUUUCUUCAUUGCUCUCUGUUCUUUAAUAAGUCAGACUCAUAUAGAACCUGAUAUUUCUUAGUGAUGUCUUCAGAUCCCACGAAUGUCAUUUUGCACUGAAGGCUUGUAACCAUUGGGAAAUGUUUGCUUGCUCUGAUGUAUCAAGUUGCCAUGGGGGUGAUCUAGAGGUCUCUUCCUUGUCCAAAGUAUGUCAUACCUAAUCAAGACAUGUUCAUUUAAUGUACCCGUCAUGUAAAUGACACAACAUGAUUCACUUGUGUAUAGUGUAAAAAUAUAUUUAUUUAUGGCA